rnacentral:rRNA from 1 species
AACGCGAAGAACCUUACCUGGGUUUGACAUGGAUCGGGAGCGCUCAGAGAUGGGUGUGCCUCUUUUGGGGUCGGUUCACAGGUGGUGCAUGGCUGUCGUCAGCUCGUGUCGUGAGAUGUUGGGUUAAGUCCCGCAACGAGCGCAACCCUUGUUCACUGUUGCCAGCACGUUAUGGUGGGGACUCAGUGGAGACCGCCGGGGUCAACUCGGAGGAAGGUGGGGAUGACGUCAAGUCAUCAUGCCCCUUAUGUCCAGGGCUUCACGCAUGCCACAAUGGCUGGUACAGAGAGUGGCGAGCCUGUGAGGGUGAGCGAAUCUCGGAAAGCCGGUCUCAGUUCGGAUUGGGGUCUGCAACUCGACCUCAUGAAGUCGGAGUCGCUAGUAAUCGCUAGUCAGAAUGUCGCGGUGAAUACGUUCCCGGGUCUUGUACACACGC